rnacentral:snoRNA from 1 species
AAACUAUGGUAUAGGCAACAUCUCAACAAGUCCUUGUACCUCUCCCACGCAUCAUACAUGCUCUCAUCAUCAAACUACUCAAAGAAGGAAAUAUCAGUACAUUUU